rnacentral:rRNA from 1 species
GAUGAACGCUGGCGGCGUGCCUAACACAUGCAAGUCGAGCGAAAGCACGAGAAGCGUUCGUCUCUACGGUUAGCGGCGGGCGGGUGAGUAACACGUGGAUAACCUACCUAUUAUUCUGGGAUAACCUCGUGAAACCGGUUCUAAUACCGGAUAAUAGUACGUACGGCUUGGUUCAAAAGUUAAAGACGGCUUUCCCGUCUCAUAUAGAUGGAUCCGUGUUAAAUUAGCUAGUUGGUAAGGUAACGGCUUACCAAGGCGACGAUGCAUAGCUGACCUGAGAGGGUGAUCAGCCACACUGGAACUGAGACACGGUCCAGACUCCUACGGGAGGCAGCAGUAGGGAAUCUUCGACAAUGGGCGAAAGUCUGACGGAGCCAUGCCGCGUGAGUGAUGAAGGUCUUCGGAUCGUAAAUCUCUGUUGUUCGGAAAGAAAAUAUGCGUAUGUAUCCGUUCACAUCUUGACGGUACCUAAACAGUAAGCACCGGCUAACUACGUG